CUUUCAGCCAUCUUGGAAUUGUAUGUAAACAAUCUGCAAUAUUUUGCAAUAUCUUUUUUUUGCUCUUUGUGUGUGGAAUUGUAUUGGUGGGAAUAAGAGCAUUGAAAAGUUGAAAGCUCAAGAGAAUAAAUCGUGUCAGAGAAAUCUCAGUGUCGGUUGGUGAUGGAGAUACCCACAAUCCAAUCGACGAAAAAAACAUCGACCUAACAACGACCGUAACGCUGUUACCUAUUCACGAUGACGACGAUUAGGUAUCGACAUCUGGAUACGGCAUUAGUUUGUAUGAGGCAAACUAUUCUCUAUCAUAUUAGUCGGCCCGAAUCAGUUUAUAUUUGCUAAAAUUUGUAUGAAAUUUUUUUCUUGGCAUAAUUUUUUCUACUUAAAGUACGUUGUCAUGACCGUUUAGAUAUUCUCAAAAAAACUUGUCAUUAUAAUAUAAAAUUAUCUCAAAACAUAUUUUUUAUGACGUUUUUUCACCACUUGCAGGAAAUGGUGAUUUUCACUUACAUAGAGUACUAAUUUGAUUAAGGAAAAAUCAUGUUCAUUCAUAAUUUUGAUUUUAAAAGUGUAUUCAUUCCUUCUGCAAAUCCAUACUGUCAUGCCUAUUCCCCAAUAUCGCCAACGCGGAUAGUUCGUUAGUCGAAAAUACUGAAUAAUUAAACAAACCAAAUGGCAUCACUGGUUGUUCUUUUUUCCACUCCGCUAAACUGUCAUCUCAAACAAAAACAAAUGGAUCAUACAACUGCUAUGAAUACAUUCGACUCGUUUGCUUCCAUCAAUCGGUAAGUGAGAAAGAUGAUUUCUCCCAUCACCACAGUGCGGAUUUCCACUUCUAUCACAGCAGCCAACAACAUCCGUUUUCCUGCUGCAGUAACCUCCAACCCCUGUUGGCAAUGCCGGGGGACAGCAUUAACAGCAGCAGCAGCAGAAUUUGACCAUGGUAUGGUAUUGCGAAGAACUUUCCCCAUUAGAGGUUCCGUGCUUCGCGCACAUUCAAAAAUCCUCUUCAGACACGAAAACUCAACGACAAGGAGGUAUUUAUCAACUUGCUCAGCUGAAUUACCACCCGGAGGAACCCGAAUGCACUGAUUCCGUUGUAUAGUAGAAUGAAAAUAGGCGAGGUAAGCGAACGUAAUCGCAUGAUAUUUUAAUGUUCGCAUUUUUAUCCGGAUCAUAUAACUGCUAUGAAUACAUCCGACUCAAUCAAUCGGCGAAUGAGAAAGAUGAUUUCCCUCAUCACCACAUUGCUUAUUUCCACUUAUGUCACACCAGCCAACAGCAUCAGCUUUCCCGCAGCAGUAUCCUUUAAGUCCAGGGUGCUAUUCCGGGGAACAGCAUCAACAGCAACAGCAGCAGGACCUGGCCAUAGUAUUUCGAGCAAUUUUCCCCAUCGGAGAUCCCGUGCUUCACGCACAUUGAAGAAUCCUCCUCAGCCACAUAUCUGUGUCAUCGAGGGCAAAGAGGUAUUCAUCAAUGUACUCAGUCGGAUUUGAAUUGUCAAUCCAGACAACCCGGAUGCACCGAUUCCAUUAUAUACCUUAUUUUUAUUAUAC